rnacentral:rRNA from 1 species
GAUGAACGCUGGCGGCGUGCCUAAUACAUGCAAGUCGAGCGAACGGACGAGAAGCUUGCUUCUCUGAUGUUGGCGGCGGACGGGUGAGUAACACGUGGAUAACCUACCUAUAAGACUGGGAUAACUUCGGGAAACCGGAGCUAAUACCGGAUAAUAUUUUGAACCGCAUGGUUCAAAAGUGAAAGACGGUCUUGCUGUCACUUAUAGAUGGAUCCGCGCUGCAUUAGCUAGUUGGUAAGGUAACGGCUUACCAAGGCAACGAUGCAUAGCCGACCUGAGAGGGUGAUCGGCCACACUGGAACUGAGACACGGUCCAGACUCCUACGGGAGGCAGCAGUAGGGAACCUUCCGCAAUGGGCGAAAGCCUGACGGAGCAACGCCGCGUGAGUGAUGAAGGUCUUCGGAUCGUAAAACUCUGUUAUUAGGGAAGAACAUAUGUGUAAGUAACUGUGCACAUCUUGACGGUACCUAAUCAGAAAGCCACGGCUAACUACGUGCCAGCAGCCGCGGUAAUACGUAGGUGGCAAGCGUUAUCCGGAAUUAUUGGGCGUAAAGCGCGCGUAGGCGGUUUUUUAAGUCUGAUGUGAAAGCCCACGGCUCAACCGUGGAGGGUCAUUGGAAACUGGAAAACUUGAGUGCAGAAGAGGAAAGUGGAAUUCCAUGUGUAGCGGUGAAAUGCGCAGAGAUAUGGAGGAACACCAGUGGCGAAGGCGACUUUCUGGUCUGUAACUGACGCUGAUGUGCGAAAGCGUGGGGAUCAAACAGGAUUAGAUACCCUGGUAGUCCACGCCGUAAACGAUGAGUGCUAAGUGUUAGGGGGUUUCCGCCCCUUAGUGCUGCAGCUAACGCAUUAAGCACUCCGCCUGGGGAGUACGACCGCAAGGUUGAAACUCAAAGGAAUUGACGGGGACCCGCACAAGCGGUGGAGCAUGUGGUUUAAUUCGAAGCAACGCGAAGAACCUUACCAAAUCUUGACAUCCUUUGACAACUCUAGAGAUAGAGCCUUCCCCUUCGGGGGACAAAGUGACAGGUGGUGCAUGGUUGUCGUCAGCUCGUGUCGUGAGAUGUUGGGUUAAGUCCCGCAACGAGCGCAACCCUUAAGCUUAGUUGCCAUCAUUAAGUUGGGCACUCUAAGUUGACUGCCGGUGACAAACCGGAGGAAGGUGGGGAUGACGUCAAAUCAUCAUGCCCCUUAUGAUUUGGGCUACACACGUGCUACAAUGGACAAUACAAAGGGCAGCGAAACCGCGAGGUCAAGCAAAUCCCAUAAAGUUGUUCUCAGUUCGGAUUGUAGUCUGCAACUCGACUACAUGAAGCUGGAAUCGCUAGUAAUCGUAGAUCAGCAUGCUACGGUGAAUACGUUCCCGGGUCU